rnacentral:lncRNA from 1 species
UGCGCCCCUCAAGUUUCUCUAUUCCGUUGGAUUUUUCUUUCCAUUUUUCCUUUCUCAAAAACCAACUAUUACCGUGAAUUGCCGCCCCCUGAGUCAUCUUCGGCCCGAAACGUCUUUGAUUCUCCACUACAUUCUCUUCUGUUUUCUGGUUUCCUGAUGGUGCUUCCCAAAAUUGAACCAAAACCUUAAAAUCUAGGGAUCAAGUUCAAAACAAAGAUCUUCUCAUCAAGCCAAAGCCAUCAUAUUAUAGUCUCUUUCUGAUCACCGAUUGCUUUCUACCAUUCUGGUUCAUCGGAUGAAGUCUUGAAAGCCGCAAACGACCACGGCAUGUUGAUUUUCUUUUCUCUUUUGAAGUUUUGAUUCUUUUGUCAUCUUUUCCAUCUUUAAAAAAAAAAACGUAUCUGUAUUUUGGAAAAAAA